rnacentral:rRNA from 1 species
AGAGUUUGAUCCUGGCUCAGGAUGAACGCUGGCGGCGUGCUUAACACAUGCAAGUCGAACGAAGCACCUUGAUUCGAUUCUUCGGAUGAAGAUCUUGGUGACUGAGUGGCGGACGGGUGAGUAACGCGUAUCCAACCCGCCCACCACUUGGGGAUAACCUUGCGAAAGUAAGACUAAUACCCAAUGAUAUCUCUAGAAGACAUCUGAAAGAGAUUAAAGAUUUAUCGGUGAUGGAUGGGGAUGCGUCUGAUUAGCUUGUUGGCGGGGUAACGGCCCACCAAGGCGACGAUCAGUAGGGGUUCUGAGAGGAAGGUCCCCCACAUUGGAACUGAGACACGGUCCAAACUCCUACGGGAGGCAGCA